ensembl:lncRNA
AGAGACAAGAUUUAUUUAUACCAUAAAUAUUUCAACAAAUUCCACUUUCUACGAUGAGUUCAAUCUUCACAAAAGUAGGAUGAACAGCACCUGUUUCCACUAGGAUCCAUAGAGCGUGAAAAUCUUAAUGAUGACCACCAGAAAGGUCAGCACGGUUGAUAUCACAGAUUUUUCAGUGUUCCAAUACAAGUUCUACCCAAAUCCAUAAAGAAAGACAUACGCAUAGGAAACUACAAAUUGAAAGCAAGUCUAUUGAGAUAAAUAUUGGACAUCAAUUGUAUGAAUCUUUAAGGCAUAACUGCAGACAUUCUUCAGACAUUCUUCAAAUUCAUAGAAUGACAACAAAGUAUGGCUACGUACAAUCCAUUCGGUUUUAUAAGCCACUCAUGAAUAACCUCACAAGCCAUUUGAAACCAGAUGACAAUUUCAAAUAGCUUUGAUCUACAAACAAGGCUGUAAGACAGAAAGUUAAAAUCGAAAUACAUGAAGUAAAUCCUCAAUAGAUAUGAAAACAUCCCAUGGUAGUGAAGUCAAUUAGCAUUAGUUAUUAGGGCUUUCAUGCACAGACUCAUCUCUGAUCGAUGUGAUCCCAAUUCAUAUUUGGCAAAAAAUACGAAAGCUGAUCUUAACAGUCAUAUUAUUUUUCUUUGUACCCCUAAAAGAAAAAUGAACAUGAAAAACUAAAUUAAGCUUGGAGGCUCACAUUUCCCAAUCGGUAUACAAAGCAACAGCAUGUCAAACUUUCUAAUUCACAUAUGCAUUUAAAUGAAAUUGGAUGAAAUACCCCUAAAUAAACACAUACUUCUAUGCCCAAUGUUUCACAAGGCAGAAAACGCUCAAUGAAUGAAACUGAGAGGGUAACAGCCAGGAAGGCCAGGGGUCUCCAAAGGGAGGAAAUGGGGUGCAAGUGUCAGACAGUUGUUAUCUGUCACUUCCGAGGCAGGAGGAAACAAGCUGUUAUCUUUUUUCCCCUUCUUGAUACAAAUUUAAAAAGAGAUUUUUCUCUUACAAAUCUGUGUUGCUAUAAUGACACCUGGUUCUGCCUGAACUUCACUUUUCUCAUACUUUGAGCUGACCAAGGCAUUUUUCUCAUGGAAAGGUUUGCCUUAAGCUAUGUGAAUGUACUAUGUAUUUACCCUAGACUCUAUCUUCAAGUAGGUUCUGCCUAAAGGCUCAGAACUGACUUGACAAACCAAUAUGCUUUACUCAUACAUGGCUCUCCUGAUCUAUGUGAAUGAAGCUAUCCAUUUGCUCAUAUCAAUCGUUUUAUGGCCCAGGAUGACUCACCUGGUGCCACGGUCAUCUCCAUAUAUCUUGUGGGUGAGGGUCUGCUGCCAUUCCUUUCUCUAAUGAGUAGACUGCUAGUAGCUAGAUAACAUCCAGCCAAAGAUGAGUAGGGGGGCACUCUUUCUGCCCCCUUCUGAUGUCUAUGUCAGAAGCUUUCUCUCUUUUAUACUUUAAUAAAACAAUGGGACACAAAAGCUCUGACUGAUCAAGCCUCAUCACUGGCCCCGGGUUGAAUUCUUCCUCUAAGGAGCCCAAGAAUUCAAGCAUCUUUCAUGGUUAGACAACAACCUUUCCAAACAAUGGUCUUUAAAAAAAAAAAAUGAUGAUAAGUGAUGAGUAUGCAUAUGUCUACGAAUGAAAUGGGACCUAUAUGUCAAACCACAUAAAAAUAUAUCUUCCCUCAACAUACAUAUAACACAACCAGGCUCCUCUCUCCAUGAGAUUCUCUAGGCAAAGAUACUGGAGGGGGUUGCCAUGCUCUCCCUCAGGAGAUCUUCCUGCCCCAGGGAUGGAAUCCAUACCUCCCAUGUCUCCUGCAUGGGUAUGUUCUGCAUGUUCUUUACCACUAGAACCACCUGGGAAGCCCCAAGACACAUGAACAUCAGUGGAUUUGGGGAUCCACGGGGCAUAUACAGAACCAUUCCUCCAACAAAACUGAAGAAUGACUUUAAAAUCUCAAACAAAACAUGAGUAUAUGUGUUCACAAACUUCAUGGAGCAAAGGUUUCUUCGAUCUGAAAACUGGCAUCGAUGAAGGACUGUGUGAAGAAUACUUCAAAGUCUAUUUGGCAAACACAGCCUACGUUGGCUAUAUUUAGUCCUCAGUUGAAUGGAAUGUCAUGAGUACUGGUCAUUUCAAAUAAGUAGCCUAUGACGCUGUUUACACUUAUUGGGACGCGUGGUAUACCACAUUCACACAUUUCAGUAGCAUUGGUGCAAAAACGAUCCAUUUCUCAGGGGAAGCUUCUACAUGGACUCCUGGGAUCAGAGCUCUAACUCAUACACACAUACUUUUCCUUUUAAAAUGAUCCUGCAUGAUAAGCAAACAAAACACUGGAUGAACACCUAGACGGUGAGCUCUGUACUAAAUGAUUUUAAAGCCAGUAGAUGGAAUGAGCUGAUGAGGAAGACUACAAACGAGUCAUCUUCUUCAACUUGGUCAAACUGCUCAUAGUCAUACAAGUGAAUGAAAAGUUGAGCCUGUUGUCAUUAAAUCCAGAUGAAGUUCAAGGGAAGCUGGGAUGCUCACUGCCCGUGAAGGAGUCCACGUGGAAUGAAGAAGUAGUGUGGGAAGUCUAUUAGUAACCACCAUGUCUUGGGUCCUCUGGAUGACCAGAAUUCUGGAGAGGUCAGGAGAUGGGAGGCUCCAGUUCAGAGGUCCUACCAACCUCCCAGGAUCCACAUUGCUGGAAUCCAUCUCAGCUGAGUGAUGCGUGUGCCCCCAAGAGAGAUCCCAAUUCAGAAUGCCUGUGGCCCACAGCCCUGCGCUCUGCUCGCUGGAUGCCAAUCGACGGGGACCCAGGAGCCCACGAAACGAGCAUUCCCAGCUGCAAUGGCGAGCCCUGAGAGCCCUGGCCCCCGACGCGCCGCCAUGUUCC